AAGUCGUAACAAGGUUUCCGUAGGUGAACCUGCGGAAGGAUCAUUAAUGAAUGAUAAUUUUUUGGGGUUUUCCCUGAAAAAUAAUUCACCUUUUGUGCAUUGUUAUUAGAUAUACUUUGGUUAGAGCUUUGAUUUCAUUUAUUGGAAUCAACUUCUUGCUGACUCUAUCCUAUUGUAUGGGACAGUUGGCUAUGAAGCGGCCUACCAAGGUUUUUUUAUCAAACUCUUGUAUUUUGUCUGACCUAAAAACAAAUAAUUAAAUCAUAACUUUCAACAACGGAUCUCUUGGCUCUC
rnacentral:misc_RNA from 1 species